GAGCCAUGAAGAGAUAUUUGCGCUCCUUGUGAAGAUUGGGUUCCUCACGAACUUCCGAUUCCGGAAGAAAACUGCGCAUCCGAGCUC